GCAAAACCGAACACAUUUCUGGGAAAUACCACGAACAGUUUUUGGUAUUCGGCUCAUAAUCAUUUGUUUGUUUACCGAGUACCUUGGCUGCCCCUGUAGGGGACAUGGACACUGCUGCUCAAACUGCAGGGCCUGUUCAGGCGGCCACCUCCCUGCAGUUUCUUACAAAGGGCGGGUUCUGUUCUUGGCAAGAGAAGUCAUCCAGACUUCUGUGACCUCCAGGCCUCUGGGCUGCCCGGCCCCUUCCGUUCUGCUCCGCAGCCAGGCCUCAUUUCCUUUCCCUCCUUCUCUUGUUUGGCCUCUGUGGGGACAAGCAGGGGCAAGCGAGUCCCCAAGUCUUUUCAGUUCUAAUGAAAAGUCCCAGUGCCAGGGGCUGGGCGAGUUGCCUUGGCAUAGGAGAGUGGACCAGGGCCAGCACCCCAGCUGGACAGACUCCCGGCAGAGCUUCCCUCGCCAGCACACGGAGAAAAGGGUCUGGCUGAAGAAUCCGCGUCCCCUGUGCCACCUCUUGAAGGUGACACCCCGUGAGUACUGCUUAAAGGGUGGCUUCAUCUCCCUCCGACUCAAGUCACAAAGACAGGACAUCUUGCAGUCAGUCUUGCUGCUGGAAGGAAGAUGUCGAACUGAGAUUUGUCUGUGGCUUGGCCGACAGCCAGCGGACACCACAGGUCGCACAAGAAGCCUGUCACUUAGAAUGCUUUCAGAGGCUCCUGACCAAAUGGACCCCAAGGGUCCGGAUAGGAGGGCUCACCUUCUUCUCUCCAGAGUCUAAUCACUCAAUCUCUAAAUGGUCCUAACACCAACAGGAGCUGAGAGCUGGCUGGUCUAGGAGAGUUCCGGUCUUCUCUGCUCCUCGGCUCUUAAUCAAAUUCUCUAAAAUUUAGAAGAAAUUCUAACUCUGUUGUGCUGGUGAGAGCGCAGUAACUGCAGUUCAGUUUCUCUCACGUUUGGAGGGCAGCCUGGGGUGGGAAAAGAUGGAGGAGGGGUCUGCCCCACUUCAGUUCCAGUUCCUGGCUGUGUGACCUCAAGCAAGUAAUUUGAGCUCUCUGAGCCUUUGUUUGUUCCUGUAUUGCAAGAAAGCCAAAGCAGUUGAAGAAACCCUUGCACGGCAGAUGAUGAAGGCCAGCUUUCUCAAGGGAGGUGAGCAGAUGAUGAAGGCCAGCUUUCUCAAGGGAGGUGAGCAGAUGAUGAAGGCCAGCUUUCUCAAGGGAGGUAAGCAGUAACUGGAAAGCAAGCUAGUUCCUCGCAGGGCUCAGGGCUGUUUCCCUUCCAGGGCUCUUGCUUGGCAUCGCUCCAUGCUUAAUUCUGAAGAUCACUCAAACAGUUACAGUUAAAUGCAGAUCAAUAUCAGUUCUCAAAAACAGAAGCCACUGCCACUUACUCAGCUGGCUGAGCGUCAGCUCUGAGCCUGCCACAGGCGCUGGGUUUAAAGAUCUGGAUCCCAGAGGGGCAUGGGGCCUCUGCCUGGGGCAGCUCACAGGCUGCUUAGGAAAGUCCAGCCAGUGAGUGGGACCCGGUCAUGUGAGGAGAGCAGGCGAAGGGAGGGCCUUGCUGUGACACUGCAUGACAAAGCAGCAGUGGAGAAGAGGCCGGGGUGUGGGAAGCCCAGGGCUGCUCUGUGCCUAGGGCCAGGGUAUGGAUGGGGCAUGGCCAGGACGGGGGUGCUGCUGGCAUGACGCUGCCCAGAAGAGGCCUGAGUAAGGGCCGCCCUUCUCUUCCCCUUCCCCUCCCCCUCCUUCUCUUAGUCUUUUGAGUCUUCAUCCAAAAGGAAGUGGGAGGCAUUGAAAGCUUUGGAACAGAGCCGUGAAGGCAUUAUCAGUCUUUGAGGUAGAGUUCUCCAUGGAUGCUUCUCUACAGAAGCAUAGGGUGGAGACUGGCCAUCGGGAGACUCGCAGGCUGAUGUCCUGGUGCAGAGGCCAAGGGCCUGGGCCAGGUGGAAUGGAGGACUGGGUUGGUCAGUCCUUCAGCACUGAAUCGAAUACCUCGAUAAUCAAGUUGUAAAGAGAAGAGGUUUAGCUUGGCUCGGUUUUGGAGGUUCAAUCAGUGGUCGGCUGGCCCCGUUGCUGUGGGCCCGUGGUGAGGCAGCGCAUCAUGGAGGGAAUGUGGGGGAGCAGGGCUGCCCACCUCAUGGACAGGGAGCAGGAAGAACAGGACAAGGAGAGGACCUUUUCCCCACGGUCCCCCUCGAGAGCACACCAUUCAACAGCUUAAAGUCUCCCAGGAGACCCCACAACUUGAAGCUUCCACCAGCUCCCAACAGCAGCUCACUGGGGACCAAGCUGCUAACACAGGGACUUGGGGGACAUUGAAGACCCGGACCAUAGCAGGGACCAUUAGUGACAUCUGAGAUAGGAUGUGACAUCAGGAGAAGGAAGGAGGUGGGAGAUGAGGUGUGAGAGAGGGCUUGUCACAAAGAAGGCGGACGUCAAAACCGUGGUGCUCAGGGGAGGGAGCCGGACACGGCAGGUCACGCACUGCGCGAUUCCAUUUUUCCAAAAUGUCCCGAAAAGGCAGCUCUAGAACCUACAGAGACAGAACCUGGAGGACUGUUGCCAGGGGCUGGGAGCAGAGAAUGACUGCCGAUGGGCACGUGGUUUCUUUGGGGGACGAUGGCAACAUCCCCCAAGUUAGAUAGUGGUCAUGGUCACAUGACUGCUCUGAACAGCAUUCAGCAGCACACUUACAAGGGGUCUGUUUGAUGGUGUGAAAAUCAUACUCAACAAGCUUUUUAAAAAAGAGAGCAGUAUUGAAAGGCCUCGAGGAAUUAUGGAGGAGAAGCAGCCUGGUUAACGCUGCCGGCUGAGAACAACGGACCUCUGUCCGCCUGAGCCCUGUGAGAAGUGUUCAUUCAUCGUCUCUUUUAAUAUGGACCCAGUGUGAAAAUUAGGUGCAUUUUUUUUUCCAGUUUUACAGAUGAGAGACCAAGACUCAGGUUUGAGGGAACAUGAAUAGGGUCAGGCAAUUCACACGUAUGAAAAUCCAAAGGUUGAACUCGUCGUCAGUGCUGGUCUAAUAGGAUCAGUUAACUCUCCCCCGUGCAGCCAUCCCUUGGUACCCACAGGGAACUGGUAUCAGGAUGCCCCACAGAUACCAAACUCUACAGAUGCUCGAGCCCCCUCUAUAGAAUGGCAUGGUCUUUGCAUAUGAGCCGCGCAUGCCCUCUUGUGGACUUUAGAUCAUGUCUGGUGACCUACAAUUCCUAACUUGAUGUCAGUGCCACACGAGCAGCUGUUACUGUGUUGUUUAGGGAAUAACGAUAAGAAAAAUGUCAGUGUUCAGUACGGAGGCAGUUCUUUUAAGGGUAUUUUGGCCAGUAGUGGCUGAACCCACAUGCAGAACCUGCAGGCAUGGACGGGUGACCUUGUCCCCGGCCGCAGCCAAGGAAGGAGCCCUCCCAGGGACAGCUCUGUGUUGGUUGCUCUUGUUCUCAUUUUACAGAUGCAGAAGCUGAAGUUCAGAAUUGAUCAGUGACAGCUCAGGGCCAAGCAGCCAGGGAGGAGGCAGCUGGGACCCUGAGGGCUGGCCCAGGCCGAGCUCUGAGCACUGAGCACCUCCUUCCCCAGGGUCUGGGAGUCCCUGGACUGAGAGCCUGGCUCAGGGCCAAGGUCACUGUGGAGGGAGGACUUCAAUCUGCCUUCUGCUGAGUCAGUGGAGGGGGCUGUGCCCAGAGCCCAUGGGCCAAAGACCAGAAAUGUUGGUGACAGGCCGAAAGAGAGGCUUAGCACGGCAGUUCUGGGUGCUGGCAGCCCUUGGACCUCGGACCUCAGAAAUCUGCAGGCCACACUGUUUUGCAGGGCAUGGAGUCAAAGUGACAGAAACCAGAGAGGGCAGAAGAUUGUGCAUUGCCCAAGUUCAGUGUUUUCAACAAGCUGACAAGGCUGACGCCAGAGCUGUCAUCUAAGUUGGCCUAAAGUCAAAGGUCAUCGGCCCCACCAGGGCUUUGUACCCGAGCUUCCCAUGCCCAGGCUGAAAGAAAACCUGUUCCUGGAGAGCCAGGGGACUCCAACACGCCUCAGGAGCUACUGUGGCCGAGGGAGCUCAGCUUAGUUGUCCCUCUGCCUUUUUCUUGCUGGGUGACUUUGGGCUAGUAGUUUCACCUCUCUGGGCCUUGAUUCCCCAACCUGUGAUCAAGCAUUUCCAGGCCAGAUUCUGUAGGUAUCUGUUGAGUGAGAAAAUAAGUAGAUGAGUAUGGAGCAGGUAUUUUGCUGGUCUAAGCAGGCAAUGGCCCAUUUGGAUAGCCAACCAUGGCGUCUCCCUUAGGUGUGAAGAAAGGGUUCUCCACAGAUAGGGUGUGAGUAACAAAUGUUCCAAAGAAGCCAGGAUGAACGUUGUGCUCAAUGAUAUCUAUGCCGUGUUCCUUUUUUUCUUUUUUUCCUUGUUUGGUGGGGCUGAGGCUGGAACCCAGGGCCUCGCACAUGCGGAGCAAAUGCCCCUUCUGUGAGCUAGAAAUACAGCCCCGGCCCCACAGGGUCUUUUCCCCUCUUCUUCCCUAUCAACACUGUCUCUCUUAUGAUUGAG
rnacentral:lncRNA from 1 species